AGACCGCCUGAUGCUCUGUUCCGAGGGAAUCGGUGCAGAGGUGUCCCCCGAGGCAACGGAUGGGGUGACGGGAAAGGAUUCGUCACCAGCCUCAGGCCUGUCCUGGGGAGGACCCGAGGAUGCCGAGGAGGGGUGGAAUCCUGUUGAGACCACCCGAGGUUGUACUGUGAGCUACCCCUUGCCGGACCCGGGAGCAGGUACCCCUACUGAGCGUG